rnacentral:rRNA from 1 species
AACGCGAAGAACCUUACCCAGGCUCGAAAUGUAGGGGACAGUACCAGAGAUGGUAUGUUCCGCAAGGACCCCUAUAUAGGUGCUGCAUGGCUGUCGUCAGCUCGUGCCGUGAGGUGUUGGGUUAAGUCCCGCAACGAGCGCAACCCUUAUCGUUAGUUGCCAGCACGUAAUGGUGGGAACUCUAACGAGACUGCCUAGGUUAACUAGGAGGAAGGUGAGGAUGACGUCAAGUCCGCAUGGCCUUUAUGUCUGGGGCUACACACGUGCUACAAUGGUCGGUACAGAAGGCAGCGAAGUCGUAAGAUGAAGCAAAUCCCUAAAGCCGACCUCAGUUCAGAUUGUGGUCUGCAACUCGACCACAUGAAGUUGGAAUUGCUAGUAAUGACGAGUCAGCAACAUCGUCGUGAAUACGUUCCCGGGCCUUGUACACACCGCGAGC